rnacentral:SRP_RNA from 1 species
UCGUACUAGCCGGGGCGGUAGCGGUGCCCUGAACUUGCAAUCCGCUAGAGCAAGGGCGAUUACUCUGCUGAGGAGCGGUUUUGUAUGGCCGGUGUUUGUUAAAAGGCGUUGAGGUUUUGGUCCUGUGCGACUUAAGCCCGUGAACCUUGUCAGGCGGGGAACCGAGCAGCAAUAAGCGGUGUCUUCGGUGUGUUACGGGGGUGCCAGGCGGAGCCGGCUGCAAACGUGCCGCAUGGAAAGCCUGUUUCGAAGCAGAGGUGUACGG